rfam:Dipodomys ordii contig_64426, whole genome shotgun sequence.
GGGAAGGUGGCUCAGUGGUAGAGUGCUUGCCUUGCAUGCAUGAGGCCCUGGGUUCCAUUCCUCAUCAUCAUA